rnacentral:lncRNA from 1 species
UUCGGCAAGCAGCCAUUAACUACCAUUUUCCUAAACAACUCACAUGCUUCAUUUGAUAGUCCUCCUUUCAAAAGUCCACUGAUCAUGACAGUAUAUGUAACCACAGUAGGUUGUAUUCCUUUAACAAAAAGAUUGGAGAACAGUUCCCUUGCAGCUUCAAGCUUGCCAAAAUUGCACAUCCCUUGAAUAAGGAUAUUAUAAAUGCAAAUAUGCGGUUCUAUCUUGCUCUCCUGCAUUGCCUUGAGCAGUCUGAAUGCCUCAUCCAAAUGUCCAUGUUUGCAUAAGCCAUCUAGCAAAAUCGAAUAAGUCAUCGAAUCUGGAAGCAGGCCAUAAGAACACAUCUCCUUAAAAAGCUUCUGUGCAACCUGAGGUCUCCCUGCUUGGCAAAAACCUUGCAUAAGAGUACUGUAAGUGACAGUAUCGGGAGUCAAAUCUCUGUCAUACAUUUCAGAAAGGAGUGUUUUCGCCUCAUUCAGCCUUCUACUCUUACAGUGCCCAUUGAUUAGUAUGUUGUAAACCCGAACACUAGGUGCAAAACCCUUGCCAACCAUGAUGUCGAACAAUUUUUGGGCUUCAUCCAUUUGGCUUUGUAAACAGUAUCCGUCCAUCAAAGCACUGUAAGUGUAAGCAUCUGGUUCUACACCGUUUUCAGUCAUCAUUUCAAAGACACGCCAAGCUUCUAAAAUCAUCCCUUCUUUGCAGAGUCCAUCAACCAAAAUAGUGAAUGUCACCGUAUUUGGCAUAACAUUCCUUUCAAUCAUUUGUUGGAACAAGCUUUUGCUUCAUUCAACUGACCCAAAUUGCAAAAACCGUGCAGAAUUGAGCUGUAGGUAACAACAUUUGGUGGAAUGCCCUGAUCAACCAUUUCAGAAAAGAAAUCCAUGGCUUCAUUGACCCGUCUAUCUUUACAAAGGCUAUCUAUGACUGUAUUAUAUGCCACCACGUCUGGCUUACAACCUUUUUCUUCCAUCUUCUUGAGCAACUGAAGUGCAUUGGUCGUGUGGCCGAUUUUGCAUAAACCUUUAAUUAUAGUAGUAUAAGUAAUCAAACUAGGUGCAAAACCCAUCUUUCCCAUCUCAUCAAAUAAUUUUACAGCAUCGAUGAUUUUGGCCUUAGAGCAAAGGCCGUUAAGGAGGGUGCCGAAAGUGACAUGAGUAGGUUGAAGACCAAGUUUGAACAUUUUACCCAGAGCAGAGAAAGCAAAGUGAACAUGAUCACGGUUGGAGUGGCAGAGGCAGUUAAUCAAAAUGGUAAGAGUAUAAACAUUAGGUCUGAUAUUUGACAAAUCCAUUUGUUUGCAGAGGGAAAUUACAGUAGAGUAAUGUUUCUUUUUCACAAGGGACCCUAAUAACUUGUUAAAGACCACCACGGGUGGCAAUGGACGAAUGUUAAGCAACUGAUUGAAAGAAGCAACGGCAUCGGCAACACUAUGAAGAUUGUUAUAGUUACUACAAAACCCACCAUUUGUUAUGGAGGAAGGGCUAAUAUUGGUGGUAGAAGCUGUAGAAGUAGUGAAGUGCUGGUGAAUGAAGAAUAAGAAAGAAGGGAAUUUAGGAAAAGUACCCAUUUCCAUUUGUUGGUGUUGAAGAAGCUGAAAAGCACAAGAAGCAGAAGCUGGGAAAGUGCUUUUCCGCAUCAUCAUGUUCGAAAGCGAAAGCGAAAGCAUAAGAAAAAGCUGCUGUCUCCUAGUGUUCAUAAAGAAGUGAAAGCAAACCUAAGUAGCCAAUCUCUCACUCUCACAACUCCAGACUUCCGUUCAGUCUUUCUCCCGUCUUUAGUAAUGAAUGGAUAAACCAGAAGGAACCCAUUGGACCUAUUUUCUAAAUCCACGUAGAUGACACUAAAAACUAUUUUUGCCACUGAUUUUUUUUUUAUUUCAUCAUUACAUACUGGAUUUAUUAUUUGAAAUGGAUAAUUUGAUGAUAAAUUGAUACGUGAUAUAAUAAAAUAAAAUUUUAUUUUAUUAAAUAAAAAUAAUUAAGACUUUAGAGACCAAGUUUGGUAUUGAAAUAAAUAAGCAGGGUUUUUUUUAUUUAUUUAUUUUAUAACAUUCACAAGUCUAACAAGUCUGAUAUUAUAUACCCACACAUGCCUAGCUUUCCUUUUGUUUUGGACUAGGAGCUGGAGCUGGCCCAUCUAGACCCAUGAGUGAGGGUUUUUUUUUAAUUAGAAUUCUUUAAAAUAAAAUGAUAAUAAUUUUAUUUAGAGUAUUGAUUCAUUAAAUACUAUUUGGUUUUGAAUUUGUUUUCCAAUAAAAUCAAGAUUUUUUUUAUAAAAUUAACGAGCACUCUUUAUAUACGGCCCUCCAUGAUUUUUUUUUCCUUAAAGUUUAAUCAAAAUUUAUUAUAAUAAGAUAGAUAAAAUUAUAAUUAAGAUGCUAUUUCAUUGGGUAUUGUUCGAUUUGACAUUUAUUCUCAAAUAAAAUUCUAGUUUUUUCUUAUAAUGUUAGCAAUAAUCUCUUAUAUUAUAAGAGGCGAGAGAAGGGAAAAAAAAGAGAGAGAGGCUGUAAUCACUGAUAUAUAAUUACAAAACAAAACCUGCCAUAAACCUCCAUGGACAUGAUUAAAUGCCACCUCCAGAAGUUCCUGAAGAUUCAGCAACCUCUUCCAAUCUGAUGACAUGCAUGGUCGGUUGCCUUUAACCAAAUGCAUAUUCCUAGAGAAGCUUGCAUUAAUUUCCAGCAAGAACAUUUAAGUCAUUGAACAGAAAGAUUAUACAUAGAGAUACAAAAAUAAGGUAAGAGUUUACAACUAGCAAGAUUCAUUUGCAAUGCCAUUUAUUAUCACCAACAUUCAGAUACUGGCAACUGUAUUCCCUUUGAAACUGCUACUUUCCAUUUUUCAAAUCUGAUAGUCUUAAGCACUUGUAAUAAAUAAAAUAUUAUCAGUAUAUAAACAAUUAAUGGAUCAUCUAUUCGUAUUUGAGAAAUCACUCAUCAAAGCUGAAAAUAUGAGUACAGUAACUUGUAAGGGGUACAAAAAUCUAACUAUUUUGAAGAAAGCCAAUGCAUGGAAACUGCACUUGAUAGGAAAAUUUCACUUCAUUUUUCUACCUUGAGAGUUUCCAUGUAGAUAUCGUCUUAUGAUUUCAUCAUAAGAUUCCAGAUCCAAUAACAUCUGAAAUGUAGAUGAAUCUGCAGAGAGCCCUCUACCUGCCAUCUCUUCGAUUAGUUGUACUGCAUUUGAUGUGUCACCGUUUCGAAGAAAUCCUUGGAUUAUAAGGUUGUGAGUGCAACUAUUCAGCAAGUAGCCAUCAACUGCCAUCUUUCUAAACAACUCACAUGCUUCAUUUGAUAGUCCUUCUUUCAAAAGUCCACUGAUCAUGACAUUAUAUGUAACCACAUCAGGUUGUAUCCCUUUAACAAAAAGAUUGGAGAACAGUUCCCUUGCAGCUUCAAGCUUGCCAAAAUUGCACAUCCCUCGAAUAAGGAUAGUAUAAAUGAAAAUAUCAGGUUCUAUCCUUCUCUCCUGCAUUGCCUUGAGCACUUCGAAUGCCUCAUCCAAAAGGCCAUGUUUGCAUAAGCCAUCUAGCACAAUUGAGUAAGUUAUCAAAUCCGGAAGCAGGCCAUACGAACACAUCUCCUUAAAAAGCUUCUGUGCAUCCUGAGGUCUCCCAUCUUGGCAAAAACCUUUCAUAAGAGUGUUAUAAGUGACUGUAUCAGGAGUCAAUGCUUUAUGAGACAUUUCAGCAAGGAGUACUUUUGCCUCAUCAAUCCUUCCACUCUUACAGUGCCCCUUGAUCAAUAUGUUAUAACUUCGAACACUAGGUGCGCAACCCUUGCGAACCAUGAUGUUGAACAAUUUUUGGGCCUCGUCCAUUUGGCUUCUUAAACAGUAUCCAUCCAUCAAAGCAUUGUAAGUGUAAACAUUUGGUUCUGCACCCUUUUCAGUCAUCCUUUCAAAAACACACCGAGCUUCUGAAAUCAUCCCUUCUUUGCAGAGUCCAUCAACCAAAAUAGUGAAUGUCACUGUGUUUGGCAUAACAUUCCUUUCAACCAUUUGAUUGAACAAGCUUGUUGCUUCAUUCAAUCGACCCAAAUUGCAAAAGCCGUGCAGAAUCGAGCUGUAAGUAACAACAUUUGGUGGAAUGCCCCGAUCAAACAUUUCAAAUAGGAAUUCAGUGGCUUGGUUUACGCGUUUAUCCUUGCAAAGGCUAUCUAUGAUAGUAUUAUAUGUCGCCACUGCUGGCGUACAACCUUUUUCUUCCAUCUUCUUGAUCAAAUGAAGAGCCCUGGUCGUGUUGCCGGUUUUGCAUAAACCAUUAAUUAUAGUGCUAUAAGUAAUCACAUCAGGUUCAUACCCCAUCUUUAGCAUCUCAACAAACAUUUUUUCUGCAUCAGUGAUUUUGGCCUUGGAUAAAAGGCCGUUAAAUAGGGUAUUGAAAGUGACAUUAGUAGGGGGAAGACCAAGUUUGAACAUUUUACCAAAAGCAGAGAAAGCAAAAUGAAAUGAUCAUGGUUGGAGUGGCAGAAGCAGUUAAUCAAAAUGGUAAGAGUAUAAACGUCAGGUCUGAUAUUUGACAAAUCCAUUUGUUUGCAGAGAGAAAUUACAGUUGAGUAAUGUUUCUUUUUGACAAGGGACCCUAAUAACUGGUUAAAUUCCACAAGGGGUGGCAUUGGACGAAUGCUAAGCAACUCAUUGAAAGAAGCAACGGCAUCGGCAACACUAUGAAGAGUGCUAUAAUUAUUACAAAACCCACCAUUGUUUCUCCAGGAAGGACUAAUUUUGGUGGUAGAAGCUGUAGGAGUAGUGAUUUGCUGGUGAGUGAAGAAUAAGAAAGAAGGGAAUUUAGGAAAAAAACCGAUUUCCAUUUGUCGUUGUUGAAGCUCAAAGAGAGAAGCAGAAGCUGUAAAGGUGGAUUUCCACAUCAUUAUUUGCAAAGCAGAAGCUUAGCCCAACAAAACCUGCUCCCAGUCUCACUCAAGAAAGUUAGCGGUUGUCACUGAGACUGAAACACGCAAGCUGAGGGGCUUCUCUUUUUAGGGUUUUCCAAAUUGCGCUCAUCAUAAAACCCAAUGCACCAUUUCAUUUUAGGAUUACUUGCCUCGGCGCGAGGACCUUUUUUAUUAUUAUUAUUAUUAUUUUAAAUGAUAUUUAGAUGCCAAAUUGAGAUAAAAAAAAAUAAUAAUACAAAAAAGCAGUUAUUAUAAAUUUGUAAUUUGAUAAUUAGAGUAAAGCUAAUUUGGGAUAUUUUACUAAACUUGUAUUUUAAAUUAUGAAAUUAAAAUACCAUUAUAUAUAUAUAUAUAAAAAGGAUUAUGAAGAUUUUUUUAAAAAAAUAAUUCAUGCUAACUUUUCAAAUUUAUGAUCUAGUUUAUUAGAUCUAAAUUAUCUAAUCAGAAAAAAAACCAUGAAAUUUAAUUUUUAAUUAAUCAAAUAUUGAAAGUUGAAACUAAAAAAAAAUUUUGAAUUAUAAUUUUUUUUUUAAAUAACAAUUAAAAAAAUUAAAAUUAAAAUUAAAAAAAAAUAAUUUUUUAUUUGAUUGGAGAACAAAAUUAAAAAGAAAAAUAAAUUUAACAAAAAGACCAAAAAAUAUCAAGAAAAUGAGGAUAAAAAAUGACACAAAAAUAAAAAUAAUGUUAAGAUUGAGGAGUCAAAUUAAAAAGAACAAUAACUUUUAUAAAAGGACCAAGAAAACAAUUAGAAAUCAAAACAAUAAAAACUAAAUUAAAAAAUAUAAUAUUAUCAAUUUAAAUUGAAUGAUAAAAUUAAAAAUAAAUAAAUUUUUUAUAAAAUGACAAAGAAAAGAUAGAAAUUAAAAAAAUAAAAAUCAAAUUAAAAAAUAUAAUAUUUGAUAAAUUAAAAUUGAAAGAUAAGAUUGAAAACAAAUAAAACUUAAAGUUAAGAACAAAAUAAAAAAUUAAAAGAAUAAGAACUAUAGUUAAAAUACCAACAACAAAAACAAUCAAGCUCUACUUUUUAAGGGAGAAAAGAGAAAAAUAAAUUAUAUUUCAAAAAUAUUUUAAAAUUAUUUUUUUUCAGAUUAUUUUAAAAUUUUCAACAUCAAUACAUAAAAAACAAUAAAAAAACAAAUCUAUAAACGUUUUUUCUAAUAAUAUUAAAUGCUUGUAUUAUUAAUAGAUGGACCCACCAGAAAAUACAAGCACAUUAAAAAGUUAGACCUUGACAAACCCAGCAAUUCUUGGAAAAAACAGCCUGAAAAAAGUGAAAACCACACUAUCCUAGAUCAAGUGCUAUCUAGGGUAUUAUUUUGAUAUCUUGAUCAUGCACAUCACUACCAAGCUCUAAGGGGUAUCCUUGCCCUGCUUUAAGGUUGCUUUCAUGAGGUUCAACACAACAGAUGCUAACUCAGUUAGAUGUGAAGUGUAGCAGUGAUUUGCUCCUUCUAUGAUGUGUAGAUUGUGAUUUGGUAUGAUCUUGGCAAACUCAAACGCAUCCUCCACCGGGAUGAUUUCAUCAGCAGAUCCAUGAACGGUGAAGACCCUGCAAUCCUUCUUGAUCGCCAGACAAGCUUCAUGCAUAUCGGUACUCAGGCGAUCCAUCAGACCUUCCUUGGUGACACGAUAAAUGACACUCCCCGUUCCAUCCUUAACAUCAAUGAAUCCAUCUUGUUUGAUCUUUUCCAUAAAACCCUUUCCAGUUCGUUCUUCAAUGCCUCUCUUCAGAUCAUAGCGGCCAGAAACAUUGAAAACUGUGCUGAUAUCCUGAUAUUUUGAAGCAUAUAGGAGCACCACAUCGCCUCCUUUACUAUGCCCAAGAAUUGCACUUACGCCUCUGCUUGGGCUUGCUCCUCGGAAGUGUUCGAUUACAGCACGUAAAUCAUCAGCCUCUCUCCGGUAAUUUCCAUAUGAAAAUGAACCUUCACUUUCCCCAUUUCCAGCCAAGUCGAAACGGAAGGCAGAGAUUCCUUCCUUUUCUAAUGCCUUGGCAAGAUUCACCAUGAUAUCGUUUUCCUUUGUGGAACAAAAACCAUGGCAUAAUAUAACUAUGUCGUUGGAUCCGGUGUCAUGUAAUAAGCCUAUCAGUUUUUCACCAUGUUUGUUUGCUAUUGUAACUUUCUGCUGCUCAACAACUGGGUUUUGGGCAGACGGAGGGAGAGCCAUCCUUACAGUCACGGUGCGAUUGAAAGAUGAGAAAAAGCGUACCUGCAAGGAGGAAGCAGGGAACCGUCUCGGAGUGGAGGCGGCGCGUAGGUUCACGUGUGAAUGAGAUACUGCGAGCGUGGCCAGCUGGAUCGGGGCAACUUUCUCCCGGAUUCUUCCGAGUACCAGUCAAUCUCUCAAAACAAGACAAUUGAAUUUCAACAACUCUCAAAGACACCAUUUUUAAAGAGCAACCAAUAUUUAGCAUCCCAAUAGAUACACAUACGAUAAAAUAACACAACCGAGAUGAAAAAACAGCCAUAAAAGAUCAAACCAGUUCAAGAAAGAAUCAAAAUGUUAAAAAGAAAUGAUCUUUACUGAAAACCCAACAAGGGAAAGUGAGUCUCGUUACCUGAAAGUAUAUGUUGAAGUCAGAAUCUUCAGCUGGAAUUUUCCCGAGAAAAUGAUAGAAAAUUUGCGAGAAAGUGAGAUAAUAAGAAGUGUGAACAGUGAAAGCAGCGGUGGAGAUUAUUAGGGUGGAGAGAGAGUGUUUAGUACAAUUACAAUAUAUAUAUAUAAAAAUAAAAGUUUAAUUAUACAUGAUACCGACAAAAACUCUAAAACGCGUAGCAAGGCUCCUUUAUUGUUAGUGUUCAUUAUGCUAGAGUAUUGAUUUGACUAGAUUGAAUUAGAUAAAACGUUUGUUUAUUUUUGUAUUUUAAAAGUAUAUUUUUAAAAAUAUUUAAUUUUUUUAUUAUUUUAUUGACUUCAAAUUAAUAUGUUUUUAUUGUUUUCAAAUCAUUUUAAUGUGCUGAUAUUAAAAAUAAUUUUUAAAAAAUUAAAAAAAUCAUAGGCAUGUAUUUUAACACGAAAAAUUAUUUAAAAAACAACCAUAGCCACAUUGUCAAACAAACUCAAAGACCAUAUAAAUAGUCGUCUUGUCUCUUGCUUAGCUUAUUUUGUUUUUGAUAAAUAAUGGACGGAUAAAAUCGAUCCGAGCUGGAUUAUCCUAACCCUGUUUGAUUUGGUUAAUUUACAAUAUUGAGAUAAAACAUAAAUAAAAAAAAUAUUGAUAUUUUUUUAAUUUUUUUUAUCAAAAUAAAGUUACUUUGAUUUUUAAAUAUAUAAUUUGUGACCCAGCCCUUCUUACAUGCUAACUCGUGAGUUAGGUUGAGCCUCUCAAAUCAUGAUUUAAGACUUAUCUUAAGUUAACAUUCAAGUUUGAUUUUUAAAACAUGAUAAUAAAUAUUUUUAUUUUUAUAUUGCCCUGGGUCACCCUGAGUUAACAAUCUUGACCCAUGACUUAAAUCUUGUAUUGAGUCGACCUCAUAGUUAGUUUUUAAAAUUAUGAUAAUAAUUGUUUUUAUCAUUAAAUAGACAUGGGUCUAUGGUCAACCUGACUCGUGAGUCACGUUUUAACCAAGGUUGACCCUUGUCUUAGAUCGACCCCUAUAUCAGGUUUCAAAACUAUAAUAAUAAUAACUUUUAUCUUUACGUUGAUCCCAGUCAAUGAUCAACUUGACUCGUGAACUGAGCCUAGCUCUAAGUUGACUCGCAAGUUAGGUUUUAAAACUAUAAUAAUAAUAAUUUUUAUCCUUAUACUGACUCAAGUUAAUGAUUAACCUGACUUGUGAUCCAAACCUUGCCCCGAGUCGAUCCUUAAGUUUGAUUUUAAAACCAUGAUAAUAACUAUUUUUAUCAUUGCAUUAACCCGAGUCAAUGAUCAAUCCAAUUUGUGAAGUGGACAUUACCAUAGGUUAAUCCUCUAAUCGUAUUUUAAAACCAUAAUAAUAACUAUUUUUAUCUCAACAUUGAUAUGUAUCAACUUAGGUUAAUCCUUACGUAGAGAAUUAGACAAUAUUGUCUUACUUCUUUUAAUGGGAAGAAAAUUUCUCUGCUAAAACAACCUUGGAGAGAAAAAAAUUUAGUUUUUGUAGUGUCUAAAUGUGCACCAAACAAUUUUACAAAAAAAAUUCUCAUCUUAAGUCCAUCAUUAUCCGACAUACCAAACAUCUCCUAAAUAAUUGUCAAAGGAUAUAUGCAUUUUUAAAAAAAUUUAAAAUAAUAAAAUAAUAAAAUUACUCUAAAAUAAAAUAAAAAAUUAAGAUGUUGACAAAGGAUGUUUCUGCUUUUCUGGCCUUUUAAAAUAAAAUAAAAUUAUAUAUUCACCCUUGAAAUCAAGCCAUGCAUCCAAGAGCUUUUUGGUCUUGCUACAUGGGUUUGUUUUGUUAAUUCCACAACCGUGGAGGGCAAUCUAAUCUUAAUUAAUAUUGAAAUUCAAAAAAAAUGUAAGAAAACGGCCUAAAAAUUACAGGUUUACCUCUUUACUUUUGAUAUUUUAAUUUGAGUUUUUAUUUUUUUGAUUUUUAAUUUAAUUUUUUGUUUAUUUUUAAUUUUAUCCUUUAAUUAUAAAUUAUCAUGUAUUAUUCUUAUUUUUUGAUUUCUAAUUUUUCUUUCUAGUUUUCAAUUUAAUCAUUCACCAUGAAAAUACAAAAUACAGAGAUAAAGUAAGAGUUUACAACUAGCAAAAUUCAUUUGCAAUGGCAUUUUAUUAUCACUAACAUUCAGAUACUGGCAACUGUAUUCCCUUUGAAACUGAAACUUUCCAUUUUGCCAUUCUGAUUCACAUUAUCAAUAUAUAAUCAAUUAAUGGAUCAUCUAUUCACAUUAGUAGUAAUAGUCACUGGCGCGUGAGAAAUUGCUCAUCAAAGCUCAAAAUAUGAGCAGUGCAAAAACUUGAGAGGGUGUACAAAAACCUAACUAUUUUGAAGAAAACUACACUUGAUAGGAAAAUUUCACUUCGUUUUUCUAUCUUGAGAGCUUCCACGCAUAAAUUGACUUAUGAUUUCAUCAUCGAUUCCAGAUCCGAUAGCAUUCUAAAUGUAGACGAAUCUGCUGAGAAUCCUUUACCAACCAUCUCUUCGAUUAGCCGUACUGCAUUUGAUGUGUCACCGUUUCGAAGAAAUCCUUGGAUUAUAACAUUGUAAGUGCAACCAUUCGGCAAGCAGCCAUUAACUGCCAUUUCUCUAAACAACUCACAUGCUUCAUUUGAUAGCCCUCCUUUCAAAAGUCCACUGAUCAUGACAGUAUAUGUAACCACAGUAGGUUGUAUUCCUUUAACAAAAAGAUUGGAGAACAGUUCCCUUGCAGCCUCAAGCUUGCCAAAAGUGCACAUCCCUUCAAUAAGGAUAGUAUAAAUGAAAAUAUUAGGUUCUAUCUUGCUCUCCUGCAUUGCCUUGAGCAGUUCGAAUGCCUCAUCCAAAUGGCCAUGUUUGCAUAAGCCAUCUAG